CCUACGGGCGGCUGUAGUGGGGAAUAUUGGACAAUGGGGGCAACCCUGAUCCAGCCAUGCCGCGUGUGUGAAGAAGGCCCUCGGGUUGUAAAGCACUUUCAGUGAGGAAGAACGCCUGGUGGUUAAUACCCAUCAGGAAAGACAUCACUCACAGAAGAAGCACCGGCUAACUCCGUGCCAGCAGCCGCGGUAAUACGGAGGGUGCGAGCGUUAAUCGGAAUUACUGGGCGUAAAGCGCGCGUAGGUGGCUUGAUAAGCCGGUUGUGAAAGCCCCGGGCUCAACCUGGGAACGGCAUCCGGAACUGUCAAGCUAGAGUGCAGGAGAGGAAGGUAGAAUUCCCGGUGUAGCGGUGAAAUGCGUAGAGAUCGGGAGGAAUACCAGUGGCGAAGGCGGCCUUCUGGACUGACACUGACACUGAGGUGCGAAAGCGUGGGUAGCAAACAGGAUUAGAUACCCUGGUAGUC
rnacentral:rRNA from 1 species